rnacentral:rRNA from 1 species
AGUUGGACUGACCUCUAGUGUAUCUGUUGUCUCGCCAGGGGCAUUGCAGAGUAGCUACGUCGGGAAGGGAUAAGCGCUGAAAGCAUAUAAGCGCGAAACCCACCACAAGAUGAGAUUUCUUCAAAGGGUCGUUGAAGAUGACAACGUUGAUAGGCUAUAAGUGUAAGUGCAGUAAUGUAUGUAGCUGAGUAGUACUAAUAACCCAUAGGCUUAUGUAC